GAUGAACGCUGACAGAAUGCUUAACACAUGCAAGUCCACUUGAAUUUGGGUUUUUAACUUAGGUUUGGGUGGCGGACGGGUGAGUAACGCGUAAAGAACUUGCCUCACAGCUAGGGACAACAUUUGGAAACGAAUGCUAAUACCUAAUAUUAUGAUAAUAGGGCAUCCUAUAAUUAUGAAAGCUAUAAGCGCUGUGAGAGAGCUUUGCGUCCCAUUAGCUAGUUGGAGAGGUAACGGCUCACCAAGGCGAUGAUGGGUAGCCGGCCUGAGAGGGUGAUCGGCCACAAGGGGACUGAGACACGGCCCUUACUCCUACGGGAGGCAGCAGUGGGGAAUAUUGGACAAUGGACCAAGAGUCUGAUCCAGCAAUUCUGUGUGCACGAUGAAGUUUUUCGGAAUGUAAAGGGCUUUCAGUUGGGAAGAAAGAAAUGACGGUACCAACAGAAGAAGUGACGGCUAAAUACGUG
rnacentral:rRNA from 1 species